AAGACUAUACUUUCAGGGAUCAUUUCUAUAGUUUGUGACUAGAGAAGUUUCUCUGAACGUGUAGAGCACCCGAAACCACGAGGAGGAGAUGUAACGUUCUCUCCUGAGCGUGAAGCUGGCUUGUGGUAUUGCUUUAUGCAAGUUCCGUUUGCCAUUGAUGAUCGUUCUUGUUUUCCUUUUUCGGGAGAACAGGAGGGAGAGAACGCGGUCUGAGUGGU
rnacentral:snoRNA from 1 species